GAUGGAGAAGGAUAUUUUAACGCUAGAAUAAAAGAGUAUUGGGAGGCUAAAUUGGAGACUUGCGACCAAAAGUUCGUUGAAAAGACUGAUACUAGUAAAGAUAGGGAGUAUGAACAUAAUGCUAAUGAUAACUUGAAGAGGGAUACUACUAGUGAAGUUGGGGGCACACAAUGUGAUGGAGAAUGAUGACUAGGGAGCAACUCAAAAGAAGAUGGAUCUUCCCUUUUAUUGAUUGUUUUAUUUCAAAGUGUUAUCUUUAUGUGAUUUAUUUAUUUUUGAAACCUAUGUGAUUGUUAUAAUAUAUUAUUUAUUUUCAAAACCUAUGUGAUUGUUACAGAAUAUAACUUUGUUGUGAUUCUAGACUACUUAGUACUCCUCCUGGAUUUGUAACCAUGAAUUUGUAAACUAUUAACCUACGUUGGACUAAUUUUCACUAAUUUCUACACUGUUACAGUUGGAGUCA